UGCGGAGGGAUCAUUACACAAAUAUGAAGGCGGGCUGGAACCUCUCGGGGUUACAGCCUUGCUGAAUUAUUCACCCUUGUCUUUUGCGUACUUCUUGUUUCCUUGGUGGGUUCGCCCACCACUAGGACAAACAUAAACCUUUUGUAAUUGCAAUCAGCGUCAGUAACAAAUUAAUAAUUACAACUUUCAACAACGGAUCUCUUGGUUCUGGCAUCGAUGAAGAACGCAGCGAAAUGCGAUAAGUAGUGUGAAUUGCAGAAUUCAGUGAAUCAUCGAAUCUUUGAACGCACAUUGCGCCCUUUGGUAUUCCAAAGGGCAUGCCUGUUCGAGCGUCAUUUGUACCCUCAAGCUUUGCUUGGUGUUGGGCGUCUUGUCUCUAGCUUUGCUGGAGACUCGCCUUAAAGUAAUUGGCAGCCGGCCUACUGGUUUCGGAGCGCAGCACAAGUCGCACUCUCUAUCAGCAAAGGUCUAGCAUCCAUUAAGCCUUUUUUCAACUUUUGACCUCGGAUCAGGUAGGGAUACCCGCUGAACUUAAGCAUAUCAAUAAGCGGAGGAA
rnacentral:rRNA from 1 species